CACGGACCAAGGAGUCUAACAUGUGAGCGAGCGAUUGAGAUUGUCGAAUCUCAGACGCGCAAUGAAAGUGAAGUGUCGUCUGACGGCACGAGCGGAGAUCCGUCGUCACUCGUGGCGGCGGCGCAUCCGCGGGCCACGCCAUCGGCUGGCUUGCUUUUCGGAGCACUGCUGAGGCGUGGACCUAGAGCCCACACGUUGGGACCCGAAAGAUGGUGAACUAUGCCUGGCCAGGAUGAAGCCAGAGGAAACUCUGGUGGAGGUCCGCCGCGAUUCUGACGUGCAAAUCGAUCGUCUGAGCUGGGUAUAGGGGCGAAAGACCAAUCGAACCAUCUAGUAGCUGGUUCCGCCCGAAGUUUCCCUCAGGAUAGCUGGCGCUCGUGUGAUACGGAGUUUCAUCCGGUAAAGCGAAUGAUUAGAGGAGCUGGGCUCCUUGCGAGCUCAACCUAUUCUCAAACUUUCAAUGGGUGAGACGUCUCGCUGGCUUCACUGCAGCGACGACUCUGAAUCCGAGUGCCCAGUGGGCCACUUUUGGUAAGCAGAACUGGCGAUGCGGGAUGAACCGCAUGUCGAGCUAAGGUGCCUAAGCGGACGCAAAUCAGAUACCAUGAAAGGUGUUGAUUGCUCACGACAGCAGGACGGUGGCCAUGGAAGUCGGCACCCGCUAAGGAGUGUGUAACAACUCACCUGCCGAAGCAAUCAGCCCUGAAAAUGGAUGGCGCUAAAGCGUUCCACCGAUGCUCGACCGUCGUCGGCAUGCGACGCGCUUGCCGCGUCUGAAGCCACGACGAGUAGGGCGGCGCAGUGGUGAGCGUUGAAGGCGUAGCCGUGAGGCUAGCUGGAGCCGCCAUUGGUGCAGAUCUUGGUGGUAGUAGCAAAUACACAAGCAAGAUCCUUGUGGACCGAUGUGGAGAAGGGUUCCGCGCGAACAGUACUUGGACGUGGGUGAGUCGGCCCUAAGCCAACGGGUAAUUCCCGCAUCCCGUGUUUAUCGUAAAUCGUAAAUCGAGCAACAUGGGUUGAU
rnacentral:rRNA from 1 species